AGAGAUGUGUGAUGACGCAUAUCAAUAAGCGGAGGAAAAGGAAACUAACAAGGAUUCCCCUUAGUAACGGCGAGUGAAGCGGGAAGAGCUCAAAUUUGAAAUCUUCAAGGGUUCUACCUUGACGAAUUGUAGUUUAAAGAAGUGUUUUCUGUUAGAUGAGGUGGCUAAAAGUUCUUUGGAAUAGGACAUCAUAGAGGGUGAGAAUCCCGUAUUUGGUCAUUCCUCCUAGCGCUGUGAUACACUUUCAACGAGUCGGAUUGUUUGGGAAUGCAGUCCAAAAUGGGUGGUAAAUUUCAUCUAAAGCUAAAUAUUGGCGAGAGACCGCUAGCGAACAAGUACCGUGAGGGAAAGAUGAAAAGAACUUUGAAAAGAGAGUUAAACAGUACGUGAAAUUGUCAAAAGGGAAGCGUUUGACACCAGUGCUGUUUUUCCGAAAAUCAAUUAAGAAUGUUUUAUUUUUGAGGAGUUAUGACUUCAUCGGCUUGCUCCUUUCUUUAUGGAACUUUCUUAAUGCACUUUUCGGUUAACAAGUCAACAUCAAUUUCUUUUGUUGUAAAAGAGUAUGAGGAAGGUGGCUUUCUUUUCGGAGAAAGUGUUUAUAGCCUUGUACUUCUGCAAUCGGAGAGAUUGAGGUCUGCAGCGUAGAUCCUUCGGGGUUAAAUAGCAUUUGUGCUAAGUUAUAGCAUUUUCAUAGACAACUUGUUGACUAUGAUUUAGUCUUGUAGCUUACUCGCUUAUGCUAUUUUACCUACGCUUAGGAUGUUGAACUACUGAGACAUAGA
rnacentral:rRNA from 1 species